GGGGCUGCUAGGUUUCUACAUAUAUUAUAGUAUGUUUAAAGUUGAGAUAAAAAUGAAGCUUAAAUUUAUAUUCUAUAUAAUUUAAAAUAAAUGCAAAACAUCAAAUAGUUUCUCUAUCUAAAAAUUUAAUACCAGCAUAAUUUUAUAGUUUUGUUUGUUAUAUAUUUUUAGAAUAUUAAAAAGUACUAUCAUUAUAUUUUUCAAUUAGUAAAUUAUGAUUGCUCUUAAUUUUUUUAUGAUUUUAAGUUAAGUAAAAGUAAUAUAAAAUAUUUAAAUCUCUCUUACUUUUAUAUUAAAUAAUUUUAUUUAGUUAAAGUAAACUUUGUAUACUGUACUUAUAUGGACGUGGGUUCAACUCUCACCA
rnacentral:tmRNA from 1 species